GACGAACGCUGGCGGCGUGCUUAACACAUGCAAGUCGAACGGAAAGGCCCUGCUUUUGUGGGGUGCUCGAGUGGCGAACGGGUGAGUAACACGUGAGUAACCUGCCCUUGACUUUGGGAUAACUUCAGGAAACUGGGGCUAAUACCGGAUAGGAGCUCCUGCUGCAUGGUGGGGGUUGGAAAGUUUCGGCGGUUGGGGAUGGACUCGCGGCUUAUCAGCUUGUUGGUGGGGUAGUGGCUUACCAAGGCUUUGACGGGUAGCCGGCCUGAGAGGGUGACCGGCCACAUUGGGACUGAGAUAGGGCCCAGACGGCUACGGGAGGCAGCAGUGGGGAAUAUUGCACAAUGGGCGGAAGCCGGAUGCAGCAACGCCGGGUGCGGGAUGACGGCCUUCGGGUUGUAAACCGCUUUCGCCUGUGACGAAGCGUGAGUGACGGUAAUGGGUAAAGAAGCACCGGCUAACUACGUG
rnacentral:rRNA from 1 species